CCCGGGGGCCAGUGGGAAUUUUUUUUUAUGUUGAGCCCUGCAUAAGAUGAAUAUGGUUUCCUACCAGUGCACAGACAACUUCAUCUGGGAGUGCCACAGAAAGACAUGUCGACGAUUAAGAAGAAGCAUUAGGAUCGGUCUCACUCCAGCAUUUUUACAUGGAUGAAAUACAUACACAGAUUUUCACAAGGUUUGUGUAUGCGGCAAGUGGACAUGUUGCAAGAUGGGAUUUCUAAGAGUAGCGCUACACUCUCAAGGAUGGCAAAGAAACUUCGGCACAUCUGUCUUAAAAGCAUGAGAAAGCAUCGGAAGCAAAAAGGGCAGAGAAUAGGUGGAGUUGAUGUCCUUAUCCACAUUGAUGAAAGCAAAUUCUGUCAUAAAAGAAAGUAUGCCAGAGGACGUUUUGGUAACACAUGGAGGAGAAAGACGUGGGUAUUUGGGAUGUUGGAGAUACGGGGCAACUCCAGACGACCCGUCCUUCGUCUAGUGAAGAGGAGGAACAAGGCUACCUUGGUUCCUAUUAUCAAGAAGCACAUAAAACCUCAGAGUACGGUAGUAAGUGAUGAGUGGAGAGCAUAUUCAAGUCUUUCACAGGAAGGCUACAGACACGUGACGGUCAACCACAGUCAAAAUUACGUAGACCCAGCUACAGGUCUACACACACAGAACAUUGAGAGGGCAUGGCAGACCUACAAGAAGGAGGUAUGGCGGUUGCGUGGAAAACGAACAUAAAAGUCUCUGAAAAGGCAGCUCUGCUUCAUAGAAUGGACCUACUGGUUGGGCAAAAGACAUAAACAUGGAAUCCUUGGUAGACUUUUUAAGGACAUAAGAUAUUCAUGAAUGGAGACACAUUGUAGAUAUUAGCCAUUGUAAAGUUUAUACUCUCCUCCUCUUUUACUAACCUCUCCUAACCUCCAAAUGUGAAUUGUAGAAGUGAACACAUAUGCACUUGUGUUGCAUGGUAUACUGGAAUUUCAGAAACCACCAUUCAACAUAAUGAUAAACCUUAGGCUCUGUAAUUUCAUAAAUUAUGUUCAGCAAUGUUGCAGCAGAUUUCGGUGCAUUGCUUGUAUUAAAGGCUCUGUUUUUGUAUAAGAUGUGUACAUUUUGGUAUACCAGGCAAUAUACCAGGCAAUACAAUGCUUUGAUUUUUUGUUUCAUUAUUCGUUCUUUGUGGAUGUACUGAACAUGUUGAUCAGCAGAUAUUAUGUAAAUGUGAAGUAAAUAAGCCAUAAACAGUCCACAAAGUUUCCUUUGUGUUUUAUUUUUAUUUUGAUAGUCAUAGGCAUAUAGAUUAUUACUAGGUUGUGAAUGCACUGAACUUUUUGAUAAGUAGACAUUUUGUUAAUGUGAUGUAGAUAAGCCAUAACAAGUCAACUAAAUUUCAAUUUAUUUGGAUAUUCACAAGGCAUAUCUAUAGAUUAUUUCUAGAGUUUAUGAAUAUUCUGAACAUAUUGAUCGGUAGAUGUUUUGUUAAUGUGAAGUAGAUAAACCAUAACCAGUCAAAUAAAUUUCACUUCAUUUGGAUAUUCAUAAGGCAUAUCUAUAGAUUAUUUCUAGAGUUUAUGAAUAUUCUGAACAUAUUGAUCGGUAGAUGUUUUGUUAAUGUGAAGUAGAUAAACCAUAACCAGUCAAAUAAAUUUCACUUCAUUUG